GGAGAGCUGGCAGCUGGCAUGUGCUGCUGGGAGUGGUUUUCUGGUUGUGAAGUUUUGCUUCUACUUAGGUGUGGGGUCCUAGAGUGGAGUGCUUAAAAGCUACCUGUCCUUGCUGUUAUUAAAUUCCUUUUCCCACGGUGGAACUGCAGAAGAGGCACUAUGCAAUAACCUGUGAUCAGGAUCCCAGUUAUGUGCUGGAUAGGCAGCUGAAGAAGCUCCUAGACCUGUCUUUCUAAGAUUUGGACAGAGCCUAUAGAUAAGGCCCAUCAGGUGCAAGUCUCCAGCUGCCAUGCAAGAAAGCACCGUGGGCUCUGCCAGUUCCUUUCAGCUCAACUUUCUGGGGAGAGAAUGUAAUGUACCGAGUUGGGAAAUGGCUGCCUCCUUGGGAUAAGUCUCCAGUAGGAGUGUGUGUGAUAGCAAAUGGAUAAAAUAGACGGUUGCUGAGAUCAUAACCAAAAGAGGAGGUGGCAGCCUGGCUAAAUUACUCAUUACCUCUGCUCUGAUGGCCAUUGUAUACCGAAGUCCUACAGGUCCCUCUUACCUUAGCACCACAUCUGUUGUCUACUGAAGGUUUCCUUGCCAAGAAAGGCUAACAACAGGCUGAGGAAAAAGAUGGGGAGAUAAUGUGACCCUCCCCUUCAGAAAUUUCAGUCAGAGGACUGAAGUGCAUUGGAUUUUUGGGGGAUUUUUCUUAGUUUUUAUGGCACAUGAGACAUUUUCUUUGGCAGUAGCUGUGAUGUAGAGUAACAAAGAUGGUAUUUGCUUUUAUUUUUAAGCAAAACCACAUCUCUCACUUGAAGAACCAGGUUAGGUGUAUCAUCCUCCUCCCAGUCUAUUUUAAAUUGACUUUAAGGAAAGUAACCGUGGGAAGCAAAAGACUUUCUCUGGUGUAAAUAGAUGUUAAGCUUCCCCCAUUGGAUGCAAAGCAAAACAGUUACAUUUUCAGCUUCCAGCUGCCAAGGACACCUAGGAGCAUUUUCCUACCACAGACAUUUUGCAGGCAAUGUGGAAAACAUGCCACAUGCCAAAGGCAUUAAAAGAAGGAGCCAAUCAUGAAUAAUUCAUUUGGAAUUCACUAUAAUGGCAUUAGUCAUAAUGAAACCUAAGCUGGUAUUAACAUGUGGGUAAUAGGUAGAGUACUUCCUGAGGAAUCAUUCUUAAUAAAGAGAGGGAGUAUUACGAAGAGCUUGGGAAAGAGAUCCUGUUUCUACCUUUAUGAUGCACCAGUCUAGGGAUAGCGGUGUCUGAUGGUCUCCAGGAAAAGAUACAAGUUAUGUUGGCUAUGAUCAGUUAUGAUGUCUUCAGGAUCUGAGUUUAAAAAGAAAUUGCUUACAGAAGGACUUUAUGGCAGCUGCUCAGAGCAGCAGUAGAUGUGCCAGUAGAAGUGUUGGUUCAAAUGAAUAAGCAAUCUGAUCGUAUUUCUGUUCCCUUCUUGUUCUUCUUCCAACCAGCUUCCGUGCAAACGAGGUGUUUUUGCAUUUGUUUCACAGCUGCUGGGGGAACAGGAGGAUGUGUUGUUGCAUGAGGAGAGAAGAGGGUUGGUGGUUUGGUUUGGCCUUUGUCCUGGUGGUCUGCAGGAGGGCAGAGCCUGGCGUCCCCAAACCAAAGGGAGGUGAGGCACUGCUCUGGCAUGCAGUUGUUCACCAUGGGAGUGACUCACUGGGAGAGGAGAAACCUGUACUGUACAGCUUUGGUAGCGAGGUGAUCUGGAAUUAGUCAAGCCUCUAAAGAUGUGCUUAUGCUCUGCUGAAAGCCCACGAUGGUCAGCUUUGGGUUUUUCUCUGGAUUUUGAAAGAGAAUUAAGUGUGUGUUUGGAGUUCAGUGCUCUUGAAACUGGGACUGUAUAAGGACUAGUGAAAGGCAGAAUAAAGGUAAAUGGUUCUUAGUUGUAAAUUUGUGAUUGGAGUAAAUCCACAGAACAAGGUACGAAUGAUUCAGAAACAGGCAUAAGGGCUAAAACCAUUCAUGCUAUAUAAUUUGCUUUACUUUAGCCAAGGCUGUUCUAAAUCUCAGCUUUGCCCAGCCAUGCUAGACCAACAACAGCUCUUAUUGUACUGUAAGCCUCUCUUAGUGAACUCUUCAUCAUCACUUCAGUAAUCCCUGCUGUAACCUCUUAUACAGUGACCACAGAGCACUUGCUGAAGGUGCUCUGAGCUGAGAAAGCAGUCUGCUCAGCUAAUGAAGAUCUCACAAUGUAUGAUGAUAAGACCUUUGCCUUAUGAGGUGUAACUAAUUAAUGCAACCAGUAAAAUCAACAUAAAAGUUAACAAUAGUUAUUUAGUACAGUUGAGCCCUGCGAGGUGUGCAGUUGCUGUAUCACACGUUUUUCUCAGAUGUGCCAGCACAGCUCAGUGGGCAAGGCCAGGAGGAUGCCACACCAGUAUGUUGGAAUCUUCUCUGCUACAUGGUAUUGUUUGUGCACCAAGCAGCACUGCUCUAUUACUCCAGUGUAAAAUCUU
rnacentral:lncRNA from 7 species